ensembl:lncRNA
CUGUCAUCUGAACAUCAUGUUAUCUAGUGUCUGUCAUCUGAACAUCAUGUUAUCUAGUGUCUGUCAUCUGAACAUCAUGUUAUCUAGUGUCUGUCAUCUGAACAUCAUGUUAUCUAGUGUCUGUCAUCUGAACAUCAUGUUAGAUAGGCGUUAUCUAGUGUGUCAUCUGAGCAUCAUGUUAUCUAGUGUCUGUCAUCUGAACAUCAUGUUAGAUAGGCGUUAUCUAGUGUGUCAUCUGAACAUCAUGUUAUCUAGUGUCUGUCAUGUGAACAUCAUGUUAGCUAGGCAUUAUCUAGUGUCUGUCAUCUGAGCAUCAUGUUAGUGUAACAGUAUAGCUUCCGUCCCUCUCCUCGCCCCAACCUGGGCUCAAACCAGGGACCCUCUGCACAUAUCAACCACAGUCACUCACAAAGCAUCGUUACCCAUCGUGCCACAAAAGCUGCGGCCCCUGCAGAGCAAGGGGAACAACUACUUCUAGGUCUCAGAGCGAGUGACGUCACCGACUGAAACACUAUUAGCGCGCACCACCGCUAACUAGCUAGCCAUUUCACAUCGGCCACAUUAGCUAGGUGUUAUCUAGUGUCUGUCAUGUGAGCAUCAUGUUAGCUAGGUAGUUUAUUAGGCUACAGAUUAAAUAAAUGAACUUCACUGUCUCGUGAAAGUGCACGGUGAUGAGCUUGAUGCUAUUUUCCAAUAAAUAUCAAGGGUCUUAUUCUGGUGACAUGUUAAAAUAUUCUCGCUCUUACCAUAAUAAUCUCAUCCCGUAAACUAGCCUGACCGCACUGUAUCCGCGAUCUUAACGCAACAGUUUCAGUUGUUGUUGUAACAAAACAAAUCAGUAGAGAAAAUAAGACGGAAACACAUUGAACUGUAGACUUUAUUUAUUCAGUACAUGAAAACUUAAGCUAAAAAGUACAUCGUGUGCACUACGUCAUCACGCACUAAUUCAUUUUAUUUUUUUAUCCACAAGUCAAUUUGGCGGAAACCCGCCCUGGUGGGGAAAAUGGGUAUAUUUCUUUCAUGCGGAUUUUUAGAAUAUUCGCAUUGAAAAAAUCUGUCGCCAUAGUUUAUGACGUCUAUGAUUGUACUCAAGCAGAGUGGAACAUGUCUGUCUCUUAUGUACAACUGGCUCUAUCUACCACGGAAUUAACUUUUCACCGUUUUUUCCUCUUCUUUAAGCCCAGAUCUAAAAUUGAAAAAUAGAAAUAGAAAAUUACUGAAAUGUUUUUUUUUUAAAUGGACAAUUAUAUAAAUUAUGGACCAAAAGUAAUAAAUGAUGCUGUUCUAAUGAAAUAGAAUGGAGAGGGAACGGGCAUUAGUGAAAGACAAGAAAAUGAAGAAGAAGAAGAAACUAGGAUAAGACAGACAGUAGCAGGUGUUACAGGUUCUAGGUUGGUUAGCAUGUUAGCUUUAGCACACUGAUUGGAGUCACCUCGUUAGUCAGGAUGAGUUUCACCUGUGCUGGAACCAGCUGGUCGUUAGGACCCGCUGGCCCAGUGCAUCAGCUAGAGAGGAUAUGUUGGUAAAGCUACACCCUCACAUUAGCGCUUCCACUUUAGUUAGCCAAAAAUAGUUUUGUUUUUUCCCCUUGUUUGUUUGGCUCCAUAUUCAUUUUACUCCCUAUCCUAAAUUGGAGUGGGUUGCUUUCCUUUAGUUUUACCUCUGAGGUAAAUGUUGUGCGUAUUCAUUGUGUGUGUCUCUUAUAAACCUCUUAUUAGUUGCUUGCCAACUUUUGGUGGGUGUCUUUCAGAACCCCUUUUGAAAUCUAUUUCUGUUUUAGAUGUGAAAGUGACUUUCUGUGAAUGUGCAACAUUUUGUGUGUGGUCCUUUUGGGAAUAUAACCCAGGUGAUAACCCCUAUCCCUCACCCUGAGAGUGUGGUCCUUUUGGGAAGGUAACCCAGGUGAUAACCCCUAUCCCUCACCCUGAGAGUGUGGUCCUUUUGGGAAGGUAACCCAGGUGAUAACCCCUAUCCCUCACCCUGAGAGUGUGGUCCUUUUGGGAAUAUAACCCAGGUGAUAACCCCUAUCCCUCACCCUGAGAGUGUGGUCCUUUUGGGAAUAUAACCCAGGUGAUAACCCCUAUCCCUCACCCUGAGAGUGUGGUCCUUUUGGGAAUAUAACCCAGGUGAUAACCCCUAUCCCUCACCCUGAGAGUGUGGUCCUUUUGGGAAGGUAACCCAGGUGAUAACCCCUAUCCCUCACCCUGAGAGUGUGGUCC